rnacentral:piRNA from 1 species
UACCCUGUUCUUCUGGCUGUGCGUAGGC